UGAAAAGAUGUCAACCUACAGGUCUGAAGAGGCCAAAUAUUUGCCGAGUGACUAAGUGGAUGGGAGAUUCCGCGAUUCGUGUGCCCUGCCCCGCCUCGCCCUUAGCCCUGGGCCUCAGUGGGUGGGAAGCCCCCCACCGCCUCUCCCGCGCUCGGCGCCCGUGGGAGCCAGUCCGCGGAACUGAGCCCCGCCAGCCCCGUGCCUCCUGUGCCAGAUGUCCUUCACCCACUGCUCGGCCCCUGUUGCCUGCCUCCUAGUUGCCGCUCGCGCUUAAAAUAGACAGGAAUGCAGCCCAGCUACCGGGCUGUGACCAGCCCAGCCUGCAACCCAGAACCUGCCCCUCGGGGAACAGGAGCAGCUAAACCUCCUUGGCCGCCUUUCUUUCUUGGAACAAAGGGAAGCAUUUCACACCAGAAAAACCACCCAGUACCCUUCCAGCCAGAGGCGAGGCGGGAAGACAAGACGAGGUUGCAGAUUUCACAAAGUGAAGGCCAGACCCUCCCCGGCCCGGAGAUGACCCCUGGCUUCGUUGCGGGGUCCUGGGACCCAGGCCGAGGCCCGCCGGACGGAUCGCACGCCCCAGCACGCAUGAACCUUGAACAGAUUGCGCAAAGCGAAAGAAGCCGGCCACGAAAGCACA